rnacentral:rRNA from 1 species
GACACGUGGUAUCCUGUCUGAAUAUGGGGGGACCAUCCUCCAAGGCUAAAUACUCCUGACUGACCGAUAGUGAACCAGUACCGUGAGGGAAAGGCGAAAAGAACCCCGGCGAGGGGAGUGAAAAAGAACCUGAAACCGUGUACGUACAAGCAGUGGGAGCACAGGUUUACCUGUGUGACUGCGUACCUUUUGUAUAAUGGGUCAGCGACUUAUAUUCUGUAGCAAGGUUAACCGWAUAGGGGAGCCGGAGGGAAACCGAGUCUUAAYYGGGCGUUAAGUUGCAGGGUAUAGACCCGAAACCCGGUGAUCUAGCCAUGGGCAGGUUGAAGGUUGGGUAACACUAACUGGAGGACCGAACCGACUAAUGUUGAAAAAUUAGCGGAUGACCUGUGGCUGGGGGUGAAAGGCCAAUCAAACCGGGAGAUAGCUGGUUCUCCCCGAAAGCUAUUUAGGUAGCGCCUCGUGAAUUCAUCUCCGGGGGUAGAGCACUGUUUCGGCUAGGGGGCCAUCCCGGCUU